UACGAAGGGUGCAAGCGUUGCUCGGAAUUAUUGGGCGUAAAGGGUUGGUAGGUGGUCUUGUUUGUCUGAGGUGAAAUCCCGUGGCUUAACUGCGGAAGUGCCUCAGAAACGGCAAGACUAGAGUCCUAGAGGGGUUUGUGGAAUUCCCGGUGUAGCGGUGAAAUGCGUAGAGAUCGGGAGGAACACCAGCGGCGAAGGCGGCAAACUGGAUAGGCACUGACACUCAACAACGAAAGCGUGGGGAGCAAACAGG
rnacentral:rRNA from 1 species